UGUGCCCUGAUUUGUUGUCUUUUUGUCUCUCCCUGCAGGAACGCCAUACUCGGAGCAAACAAUAAGGAGCACCCGGGUACCUCUAGGACUGAUCUUGAAAACAAAGAAAAGUCCUCCGCCUGUGCAGCUGCGUGAAUUCCAAAGAUUCUGUGACCGUUGGGAGAAAAUAUUGAAUUCUGUUUGUAUUUUUGGAUUCUGACUUCCUGUGCUAGAUAAUGAAAUGAACACUCAUGAGAUUAAUUAGGGCUGAAAUGGUGCCUCCUGGUGGGCACUAACAAAUCCUUUCCACUCUGUUUCCCUGUAAUUUUUUUAUUUAAAAAGGUAAGUUGUGGGUUGUUGUAGGAUGGGGAGAAGGAGAAACACAAUUGUCCAGUGGGUUUGUGUUUAAUUGACUAACUCCCUGCUCUUCCUUGACUCACAAAGAUGAUGUCCAACCAAUCAUGUCUGCAGAUAAACUACAAUUCCCAGCACCCCCUGAUAGCUACUGUAUCUCUGGCCAGCAGCUUGCUGGAAACUGUAGCUCAGUAGCCCAACUGCUUUCCUUCAUGCCUAUGACUUGCAGGUAGGGUUGCCACCUGGCCGGAAUUUUACCGGCCUGGCUGGUAAAAAUGAUGGUUCAUCCCAAUGUUAUUAAUAGGAAAUAAAGAUAAAUAUAUAGGAAGGCCGGUAUUUUUUUCCAGAAACGGUGGCAACCCUACUUGCAGGCCUGUUGGAGAAGUUGCUGUGAUUUAUAGGUUAUGUAGUAACAUAGGCCAUGGCCCACACUCCACUGACUGCUAGCAGCCAAUCAUAUUCAUUCUGUGGCUGCAUGGAUAGGGCAACUUUCCUAUGUUACUACAUACUACACUACCGUUCCUGUUUUUGAAUGACACAGCGGGGGUUGCUUAAUUGGUGGCGGGGUUUGGGUUUACCCAUUAAGACAAUUUGCAUUUAGACAUCUGUGACUUUUAAAUUAUUUGUGGUUCUGUAUCAGUUCGUAAGUAUUCCUGUUCUAAUUCCUGCCUUUGAUUCACAUCACUGCCUGGUUGCUAGAGUAAGUGAGACCCUAGCAACCACAUAAGUGAUAGUUACAAACUCGCGAGUAAUUCAGAGACCCCAAACAUUGAGAGCAGUAAUCGAAUUUAAAAAAACCCAACUCAAAGUUUCCCUACUUGCCCUUUAUCUGCCCACAGUGUACUGCAAGUUGCCCCCUUUAUAAUGCCAGUUAAUGGGCCGGCAGACUCUGGCAGUAACCAGGCCUCAUUCAUAGUGUUAACACUUCAGGGAAGUCUCUGGGGUUUUUUAGGAAAAUGAGUAGCCCCUCUGUAUCUGCCAUACACUGCUUAGGGCCCCUGUUUCCCACCCACUUCCUCCCGCACCUUUGCACCUUCAGUCGGUCACACCCUGCAUGUUACCCAAUUGGGUCUUGGUUCUGAACCAGGCAAAGCUGUGGCCGGUGGCUAGCUGACCUGCUUACCCAUAUGACACUGGAGGGGCACGGGGUGGGCAGUCCAUGCUGGUGGCACUGUCUGGUUGUAACAAAGGCCCUUUGCCCCCUCAUCCCUGCCUUCUCUCAGGGCUUAUACUAAUGCCAUGUUCUUCUAAAUCAAGCUUUCUCUAUUCUGUAUUAAACCAUGAAGCAAU